rnacentral:tRNA from 1 species
GGGCCGGUAGCUCAGUGGUAGAGCAGGAGCCUUUUAAGCUCUUGGUCGUGGGUUCGAAUCCCUCCCGGCUCA